rnacentral:rRNA from 1 species
GAUGAACGCUGGCGGCGUGCCUAAUACAUGCAAGUCGAGCGAACGGACGAGGAGCUUGCUCCUCUGACGUUAGCGGCGGACGGGUGAGUAACACGUGGAUAACCUACCUAUAAGACCGGGAUAACUUCGGGAAACCGGAGCUAAUACCGGAUAAUAUAUUGAACCGCAUGGUUCAAUAGUGAAAGACGGUUUUGCUGUCACUUAUAGAUGGAUCCGCGCCGCAUUAGCUAGUUGGUAAGGUAACGGCUUACCAAGGCAACGAUGCGUAGCCGACCUGAGAGGGUGAUCGGCCACACUGGAACUGAGACACGGUCCAGACUCCUACGGGAGGCAGCAGUAGGGAAUCUUCCGCAAUGGGCGAAAGCUUGACGGAGCAACGCCGCGUGAGUGAUGAAGGUCUUCGGAUCGUAAAACUCUGUUAUUAGGGAAGAACAAAUGUGUAAGUAACUAUGCACGUCUUGACGGUACCUAAUCAGAAAGCCACGGCUAACUACGUG